CACGCACGCACGCAGGAGGUGUACAGGUCGGGGGUGUGGCAGUUCGAGGGUGAGGUGUACGUGCCGGCGGGGACGUCCGGCGCGUGCAUCAUGCAGAUCUUCGGGGCGGCGCCGGAGCGGCAGGCGACGACGCUGAUGCUCCACGUCUACGACGGCAGGCUCACCUUCUACCACGACCUGCGGAGGGUGCUCGCCGACGGCAUCUAUGACCGGUGGCUCCGGCUCAACGUCGUCCACGACGUGGGCGCGCGCAGCGUCACCGUGUUCGUCGACGGCGCCGAGGUGCUGCGCUCGCGCAGCCACGGCGCGCCCGGCGCAGCGCACUACUUCAAGUUCGGGGUGUACAAGCAGUCGCACCACCACCCGUCGGACCGCAUGGAGUCGCGAUGGAGGAACGUCCGAGUCUUCACCAAGCAUUGA
rnacentral:rRNA from 1 species